rnacentral:misc_RNA from 1 species
AAAAUGCGAUACUUAGUGUGAAUUGCAGAAUUCAGUGAAUCAUCGAGACCUUGAACGCAUAUUGCACCUGCAAUCAUUUGCAGGUACAUCUGUUUGAGUGCCAAUACAAACAAUCACAAAACAAAAGAGAUUUUGUUUUCUGUGAGAAUUGGGCUGUCCAUAAUAUUUGUGGUCGCUUGAAAUUUAUUGUGGUUUCAUUUGAGUAAAAAUAAGAAAGUGUCCACCUUUCUUGAUUCCAAAACGGCGCGAUAGUAAAGUGUCUCGCUGCUAGUAAGAUCAGGUUCAAAUUUUUUAUAGGGUGAGAGUGUUUCUUUCAAAUGAUUCCAAAAAAAGGAUGAAUGUAGAUUAAUUUUUACAUAAUUAUCUUUUACUCUCUUUUACUGAGAGUACUGGCCUCAAAUCAGAUGAGAAUACCCGCUGAACUUAA